rnacentral:rRNA from 1 species
UACGAAGGGGGCUAGCGUUGUUCGGAAUUACUGGGCGUAAAGCGCACGUAGGCGGACUUUUAAGUCAGGAGUGAAAUCCCGGGGCUCAACCUCGGAACUGCAUUUGAAACUGGAGGUCUUGAGAUCGAGAGAGGUUAGCGGAAUACCGAGUGUAGAGGUGAAAUUCGUAGAUAUUCGGUGGAACACCAGUGGCGAAGGCGGCUAACUGGAUUGAUACUGACGCUGAGGUGCGAAAGCGUGGGGAGCAAACAGG